UCUCUGUGAUGUUAAAUUUGAUGACGAGUCUGAUGCGCAUAAUAUCGUGAUGCGAAAUGAGGCAUUUGUCUGAGAGAA
rfam:Picea glauca, whole genome shotgun sequence.